AGUACCGUGAGGGAAAGGCGAAAAGAACCCCGGCGAGGGGAGUGAAAAAGAACCUGAAACCGUGUACGUACAAGCAGUGGGAGCCUCUUAAUGGGGUGACUGCGUACCUUUUGUAUAAUGGGUCAGCGACUUAUAUUCUGUAGCAAGGUUAACCGAAUAGGGGAGCCGAAGGGAAACCGAGUCUUAACUGGGCGUUAAGUUGCAGGGUAUAGACCCGAAACCCGGUGAUCUAGCCAUGGGCAGGUUGAAGGUUGGGUAACACUAACUGGAGGACCGAACCGACUAAUGUUGAAAAAUUAGCGGAUGACUUGUGGCUGGGGGUGAAAGGCCAAUCAAACCGGGAGAUAGCUGGUUCUCCCCGAAAGCUAUUUAGGUAGCGCCUCGUGAAUUCAUCUCCGGGGGUAGAGCACUGUUUCGGCAAGGGGGUCAUCCCGACUUACCAACCCGAUGCAAACUGCGAAUACCGGAGAAUGUUAUCACGGGAGACACACGGCGGGUGCUAACGUCCGUCGUGAAGAGGGAAACAACCCAGACCGCCAGCUAAGGUCCCAAAGUCAUGGUUAAGUGGGAAACGAUGUGGGAAGGCCCAGACAGCCAGGAUGUUGGCUUAGAAGCAGCCAUCAUUUAAAGAAAGCGUAAUAGCUCACUGGUCGAGUCGGCCUGCGCGGAAGAUGUAACGGGGCUAAACCAUGCACCGAAGCUGCGGCAGCGACGCUGAUGCGUUGUUGGGUAGGGGAGCGUUCUGUAAGCCUGUGAAGGUGGCCUGUGAGGGUUGCUGGAGGUAUCAGAAGUGCGAAUGCUGACAUAAGUAACGAUAAAGCGGGUGAAAAGCCCGCUCGCCGGAAGACCAAGGGUUCCUGUCCAACGUUAAUCGGGGCAGGGUGAGUCGACCCCUAAGGCGAGGCCGAAAGGCGUAGUCGAUGGGAAACAGGUUAAUAUUCCUGUACUUGGUGUUACUGCGAAGGGGGGACGGAGAAGGCUAUGUUGGCCGGGCGACGGUUGUCCCGGUUUAAGCGUGUAGGCUGGUUUUCCAGGCAAAUCCGGAAAAUCAAGGCUGAGGCGUGAUGACGAGGCACUACGGUGCUGAAGCGACAAAUGCCCUGCUUCCAGGAAAAGCCUCUAAGCAUCAGGUAACAUCAAAUCGUACCCCAAACCGACACAGGUGGUCAGGUAGAGAAUACCAAGGCGCUUGAGAGAACUCGGGUGAAGGAACUAGGCAAAAUGGUGCCGUAACUUCGGGAGAAGGCACGCUGAUAUGUAGGUGAAGCGACUUGCUCGUGGAGCUGAAAUCAGUCGAAGAUACCAGCUGGCUGCAACUGUUUAUUAAAAACACAGCACUGUGCAAACACGAAAGUGGACGUAUACGGUGUGACGCCUGCCCGGUGCCGGAAGGUUAAUUGAUGGGGUUAGCGGUAACGCGAAGCUCUUGAUCGAAGCCCCGGUAAACGGCGGCCGUAACUAUAACGGUCCUAAGGUAGCGAAAUUCCUUGUCGGGUAAGUUCCGACCUGCACGAAUGGCGUAAUGAUGGCCAGGCUGUCUCCACCCGAGACUCAGUGAAAUUGAACUCGCUGUGAAGAUGCAGUGUACCCGCGGCAAGACGGAAAGACCCCGUGAACCUUUACUAUAGCUUGACACUGAACAUUGAGCCUUGAUGUGUAGGAUAGGUGGGAGGCUUUGAAGUGUGGACGCCAGUCUGCAUGGAGCCGACCUUGAAAUACCACCCUUUAAUGUUUGAUGUUCUAACGUGGGCCCCUUACCGGGGUUGCGGACAGUGUCUGGUGGGUAGUUUGACUGGGGCGGUCUCCUCCUAAAGAGUAACGGAGGAGCACGAAGGUUGGCUAAUCCUGGUCGGACAUCAGGAGGUUAGUGCAAUGGCAUAAGCCAGCUUGACUGCGAGCGUGACGGCGCGAGCAGGUGCGAAAGCAGGUCAUAGUGAUCCGGUGGU
rnacentral:rRNA from 1 species